CGANCGAUGAAGGGAGCUUGCUCCUGGAUUAGUGGCGAACGGGUGNNUAACACGUGAGUAACCUGCCCUUAACUCUGGGAUAAGCCUGGGAAACUGGGUCUAAUACCGGAUAUGACUGAUCAUCGCAUGGUGGUUGGUGGAAAGCUUUUUGUGGUUUUGGAUGGACUCGCGGCCUAUCAGCUUGUUGGUGAGGUAAUGGCUCACCAAGGCGACGACGGGUAGCCGGCCUGAGAGGGUGACCGGCCACACUGGGACUGAGACACGGCCCAGACUCCUACGGGAGGCAGCAGUGGGGAAUAUUGCACAAUGGGCGCAAGCCUGAUGCAGCGACGCCGCGUGAGGGAUGACGGCCUUCGGGUUGUAAACCUCUUUCAGUAGGGAAGAAGCGAAAGUGACGGUACCUGCAGAAGAAGCGCCGGCUAACUACGUGCCAGCAGCCGCGGUAAUACGUAGGGCGCAAGCGUUAUCCGGAAUUAUUGGGCGUAAAGAGCUCGUAGGCGGUUUGUCGCGUCUGCCGUGAAAGUCCGGGGCUCAACUCCGGAUCUGCGGUGGGUACGGGCAGACUAGAGUGAUGUAGGGGAGACUGGAAUUCCUGGUGUAGCGGUGAAAUGCGCAGAUAUCANGAGGAACACCGAUGGCGAAGGCAGGUCUCUGGGCAUUAACUGACGCUGAGGAGCGAAAGCAUGGGGAGCGAACAGGAUUAGAUACCCUGGUAGUCCAUGCCGUAAACGUUGGGCACUNNNGUGGGGGANNUUCCACGUUUUCCGCGCCGUANCUANCGCAUUNAGUGCCCCNCNGGGGNANUACGGCNNNANGGCUAAAACUCAAGGAANNGANGGGGCCCNCNNNNNNGNGNAGCAUGCGGAUNNUU
rnacentral:rRNA from 1 species